UUCUUGAUUUGAGGUAGUGACAAGUCUAGAUGAGUGUAACUCCUUCCUUGAUUAAUGCGUGAUUAUGAGUGAAAAAUACUUGUCAAUUGCUUCAGGUGCUCAAGCUAGUCUGGAAGAGAAUCCCGGAGAGGACAACUAACGAUUCUCUCGCUCAAUUACUCUUGAAUUGUUCUGGAAAUUGAGAGCUUUACAAUUUACUUAGACUUUCUUAUGGAUGUAAAUGAAUUCUAUGACUUCGCUUUGCGGUUUGUAAUGUCUAAUGUUACUUAUGUCAUGUAUCGGAUUGGAGAUACGUUAAGCUUGGUGUACUUAAUGCUUUGGAUUGCCACUUGAAGCUGGAAAAGUGCAAUCCCUGAUUCAGAUAUUUGGCUUGUAUGUUCGUACUUGUGUUGUAUGAACUUGUAUGUUUGGGAUGGUAUGACUUUAGACUUGGGUUGUAACGCGUAAGGUUCUUAAGAGUCGACGAUUGGCU